rnacentral:rRNA from 1 species
UACGGGGGGGGCAAGCGUUUGUUCGGAAUUACUGGGCGUAAAGGGCCAGUAGGCGGCCAACUAAGUCGGAUGUGAAAUCCCCAGGCUCAACCUGGGAACUGCAUCCGAUACUGGAUGGCUUGAAUCCGGGAGAGGGAUGUGGAAUUCCAGGUGUAGCGGUGAAAUGCGUAGAUAUCAAGUGGAACACCAGUGGCGAAGGCGAAUCCCUGGAAAAUACCUGACACUGAGGCACGAAAGCUAGGGGAGCAAACAGG